rnacentral:rRNA from 1 species
GUCCACCCCGUAAACGUUGGGAACUAGUUGUGGGGUCCAUUCCACGGAUUCCGUGACGCAGCUAACGCAUUAAGUUCCCCGCCUGGGGAGUACGGCCGCAAGGCUAAAACUCAAAGGAAUUGACGGGGACCCGCACAAGCGGCGGAGCAUGCGGAUUAAUUCGAUGCAACGCGAAGAACCUUACCAAGGCUUGACAUAUAGAGGAAACGGCAAGAAAUUGUCGCCCCGCAAGGUCUCUAUACAGGUGGUGCAUGGUUGUCGU